AACGAACGCUGGCGGCAGGCCUAACACAUGCAAGUCGAGCGCCCCGCAAGGGGAGCGGCGGACGGGUGAGUAACGCGUGGGAAUAUGCCCUUUGCUACGGAAUAGUCUCGGGGAACUGGGGGUAAUACCGUAUACGCCCUUUGGGGGAAAGAUUUAUCGGCGAAGGAUUAGCCCGCGUUGGAUUAGGUAGUUGAUGGGGUAAUGGCCUACCAAGACGACGAUCCAUAGCUGGUUUGAGAGGAUGAUCAGCCACUCUGGGACUGAGACACGACCCAGACUACUACGAGAGGCAGCAGUGGGGAAUCUUAGACAAUAGGGGCAACCCUGAUCUAGCCGUGCCGCGUGAGUGAUGAAGGCCUUAGGGUUGUAAAGCUCUGUCAGCUGGGAAGAUAAUGACGGUACCAGCAGAAGAAGCCCCGGCUAACUCCGUG
rnacentral:rRNA from 1 species